rnacentral:rRNA from 1 species
GGGGGAAAAACACCCCCAAGCCCACGCGUGGUUUUCCGGGAGGUUGUCCCCCCCGCGGGGUUGGACCCCGGCCAAUUCCGGGGCCCCCAGGGGAACCCCCAAGGGGGAACCUGAGCCCCCCCCCUGGGAGAAAACCAUUUAGGGGGUGAAACCCCUUUUCCCAAGGAAAAGUCCCGGGCCUUGAUGAAUACCCCCGGGUUACCCCGGGCCCACAACCCCGGUAAUCCGGAGGGCAACGUUCUCGGAAUCACUGGGCGUAAAGCGCAUUUAGCGGUUUUUAAUUAGAAGUGAAAACCUACGGCUCAAACCGUGGAACAGCUUCUAAAACUGAAUAACUAGAGUCUGGAGAGGAAGAUGGAAUUAGUAUGUAGGGGUAAAAUCCGUAGAGAUUACUAGGAAUACCGAAAGCGAAGGCGAUCUUCUGGAACAGGACUGACGCUGAGAUGCGAAAGCUGGGGAGCAAACAGGAUUAGAUACCCUGGUAGUCCACCGCCCCUAACGAUGAAUGUUAGUCUUGGGAGUGCUAGCCACUUCAAGUGAUGCAGCUAACGCAUUAAACAUUCCGCCUGGGGAGUACGGCCGCAAGGUUAAACUCAAAGGAAUAGACGGGGACCCGCACAAUGUGGAGCAUUGUUUAAUUCGAAGAUACGCGAAGAACCUUACCUGGCCUUGACAUGUACCAGAAUCUACCAGAGAUGGUGGAUGCCUUCGGGAGCUGGUAUACAGGUGCUGCACGGCUGUCGUCAGCUCGUGUCGUGAGAUGUUGGGUUAAGUCCCGCAACGAGCGCAACCCUCGUGACUAGUUACUAACAGCAUAGGCUGAGGACUCUAGUCAGACUGCCUUCGUAAGGAGGAGGAAGGUGAGGACGACGUCAAGUCAUCAUGGCCCUUACGGCCAGGGCGACACACGUGCUACAAUGGGAAGGACAAAGAGAAGCAAAACUGUGAGGUGGAGCAAAUCUAUACCUUCUCUCAGUUCGGAUGACGAUUCUCU